rnacentral:tRNA from 1 species
CAGAUUUUAGUUUAUCAAAAUAUUAACUUGUCAAGUUGAAGAAAAAAAUUGUUUUAAGUCUGA